rnacentral:ribozyme from 13 species
UUUCUUUUCGUUCUUGUUCCAUCCUUUUUUCUUCUCUUUUUCGUUCAUUCUCAGCUUCAAUUGCCUCAUUUUCAAUAAUAAGGCGAAGAGCAUUAAGAUGGCGAUAUGCAAAAUCGAUAUGAUUUGUAGCCUUUCUUGCGUGAUUUUCCUUGACUUCAGAAUCCACAUUAGAAGAAAUGGAAGAAAUUUUUUCAAUUUCCUUUUGGAGUUUCUUCAUUUCAGUUUGAAUUUGUUCAGGAUCCCAAGCGCUCUUCUCAGGUUCACGAAUGUGAGAGAAGAGCUCAAUAAACUCAUCAAUAUCCUCUCCUGUCAAUCCCUCAACAUACCCCUUGGCAUCACGAAAAGUGGCAUGUACCAAUCCUUUUAAAAAUUCUUUUGGGCG